rnacentral:rRNA from 1 species
UGCAAGUCGAACGAGACUUCGGUCUAGUGGCGAACGGGUGAGUAACACGUGGGCAACCUGCCCCGAGCUCUGGGAUAACCCCGGGAAACCGGAGCUAAUACCAGAUACGACCCUCGAAGACAUCUUCGCGGGUGGAAAGUUUUUCGGCUCGGGAUGGGCCCGCGGCCUAUCAGCUUGUUGGUGGGGUAACGGCCUACCAAGGCGACGACGGGUAGCCGGCCUGAGAGGGCGACCGGCCACACUGGGACUGAGACACGGCCCAGACUCCUACGGGAGGCAGCAGUGGGGAAUAUUGCGCAAUGGGCGAAAGCCUGACGCAGCGACGCCGCGUGAGGGAUGAAGGCCUUCGGGUUGUAAACCUCUUUCAGCAGGGACGAAGCGAAAGUGACGGUACCUGCAGAAGAAGCACCGGCCAACUACGUGCCAGCAGCCGCGGUAAUACGUAGGGUGCAAGCGUUGUCCGGAAUUAUUGGGCGUAAAGAGCUCGUAGGCGGUCUGUCGCGUCGGCUGUGAAACCCUGGGGCUCAACCCCAGGCCUGCAGUCGAUACGGGCAGACUAGAGUCCGGCAGGGGAGACUGGAAUUCCUGGUGUAGCGGUGAAAUGCGCAGAUAUCAGGAGGAACACCGGUGGCGAAGGCGGGUCUCUGGGCCGGAACUGACGCUGAGGAGCGAAAGCGUGGGGAGCGAACAGGAUUAGAUACCCUGGUAGUCCACGCCGUAAACGUUGGGCGCUAGGUGUGGGGAACCUUCCACGUUCUCCGUGCCGCAGCUAACGCAUUAAGCGCCCCGCCCUGGGGAGU